rnacentral:rRNA from 1 species
CAGCAGCCGCGGGAAAACCGAGGAUGCAAGCGUUAUCCGGAAUGAUUGGGCGUAAAGCGUGCGCAGGCGGUUUUGUAAGACAGGCGUGAAAUCCCCGGGCUCAACCUGGGAAUGGCGCUUGUGACUGCAAAGCUAGAGUGCGGCAGAGGGGGAUGGAAUUCCGCGUGUAGCAGUGAAAUGCGUAGAUAUGCGGAGGAACACCGAUGGCGAAGGCAAUCCCCUGGGCCUGCACUGACGCUCAUGCACGAAAGCGUGGGGAGCAAACAGGAUUAGAUACCCCAGUAGUCCCUGUCUCUUAUAC